AUUGAACGCUGGUGGCAUGCUUAACACAUGCAAGUCGGACGGCAGCAUGGUUAGUAGUAAUACUAGCUGAUGGCGAGUGGCGGACGGGUGAGUAAUGCAUAGGAAUCUGCCUUAUUGAGGGGGAUAGCUCAGGGAAACUUGGGGUAAUACCGCGUAAGACCGGAAGGUGAAAGGGGGCUCGCAAGGGCUCUCGCGAUAAGAUGAGCCUAUGUUGGAUUAGCUAGUAGGUGAGGUAAAGGCUCUACCUAGG
rnacentral:rRNA from 1 species